rnacentral:misc_RNA from 1 species
AAGGAGCACCACGAGAAGCACCCCAAUUGGUGGGGUGCAAGCCGUGAGGGGUUCUCGCCUGUAGUGGGCGGGGACCGGGUGCACGACAACAGAUAAUUGCCAGACACACUAUUGGGCCCUGAGAUAACACUCGGUUCAGUCCGCGUGGAGUCUCCCCAUCUUGGUGGUGGGGUGUGGUGUUUGAGUAUUGGAUAGUGGUUGCGAGCAUCUAGAUGGAUGCAUUGCUUAGGCAGUGUGUCCGUCGAAAUGUGUAAUUUCUUCUUUGGUUUUUGUGUGUAUGU